rfam:Methanococcus voltae A3, complete genome.
GUCACAGUGCAUAAUCCAUUAAAACAAGGAUUGAAAC